rnacentral:rRNA from 1 species
UGGAUCCAGACUUUGAUCAUGGCUCAGGAUGAACGCCAGCUACAGGCCUAACACAUGCAAGUCGAGGGGAAACGGUAGAGAAAGCUUGCUUUUUCUAGGCGUCGACCGGCGCACGGGUGAGUAACGCGUAUCCAACCUGCCCAUCACUUGGGGAUAACCUUGCGAAAGUAAGACUAAUACCCAAUGAUGUCUCAAGAAGACAUCUGAAUGAGAUUAAAGAUUUAUCGGUGAUGGAUGGGGAUGCGUCUGAUUAGCUUGUUGGCGGGGUAACGGCCCACCAAGGCGACGAUCAGUAGGGGUUCUGAGAGGAAGGUCCCCCACAUUGGAACUGAGACACGGUCCAAACUCCUACGGGAGGCAGCAGUGAGGAGUAUUGGUCAAUGGGCGAGAGCCUGAACCAGCCAAGUAGCGUGCAGGAUGACGGCCCUAUGGGUUGUAAACUGCUUUUAUAAGGGAAUAAAGUGAGUCUCGUGAGGCUUUUUGCAUGUACCUUAUGAAUAAGGACCGGCUAAUUCCGUGCCAGCAGCCGCGGUAAUACGGAGGGUCCGGGCGUUAUCCGGAUUUAUUGGGUUUAAAGGGAGCGUAGGCCGGAGAUUAAGCGUGUUGUGAAAUGUAGAUACUCAACAUCUGCACUGCAGCGCGAACUGGUUUCCCUGAGUACGCACAAAGUGGGCGGAAUUCGUGGUGUAGCGGUGAAAUGCUUAGAUAUCACGAAGAACUCCGAUUGCGAAGGCAGCUCACUGGAGCGCAACUGACGCUGAAGCUCGAAAGUGCGGGUAUCGAACAGGAUUAGAUACCCUGGUAGUCCGCACGGUAAACGAUGGAUGCCCGCUGUUGGUCUGAAUAGGUCAGCGGCCAAGCGAAAGCAAUUAAGCAUCCCACCUGGGGAGUACGCCGGCAACGGUGCAACUCAAAUGAAUUGACGGA